CUGAACCCUCCAUACGCUCUCUUUGGUAUGUGAAUCACUUGAACCCUUCAUACUCUCUUCGCUAAGUGAACUGCUGUUGUUUUUUCUUUCUAUUAUUUAUGCAUAUCUAUAAAUUUGUCCUUCAUUCUGAGAUUUAUCUCCAUAAUUGUGCUCCAUGCUCUAAAUUUGUGAUGAUGCAAGUGGUCCAUUGGAGGAUAUAAAUCAACAAAUUUUGUUAUUGGUUUACACGUUUAACUCAUGGGACUCUUGAAGCAACCACACCAGCAACAUGAAACACACCAGAAAAAAUACACAAUUAGUCCCUAAGGUUUAAAUUUUAUUUUGAAAGGAAAGAUGGUUAAAGUGUGAAAGAAAUAUUGAAUCUUUUAAUGUUUAUGUAAUCUGUCCAAGUAGUAAAUAUAGUUUAACAAAAAGGUUCUCAUGUUUAUUCAAGAAUUCAGUCUAUCAAUUAUUGAGUAGUGUCUGAAGCAAA